UCUUCAAUCAAAGUACCAGGUUCGACAUGUUACAAAGAAACUAUAAUACCUCGGGCGAUGGUAAAGACUCCAUGUGUGUGAAGAUUAGGCGUGACACCUCCGUUGUGGAAGGGAAUACAGUGAUGAAAAAUUUUACUUACAGAAACAUGAGUUCCACGCUUCGACAAAGGGCUAGCGCACUAAUUAACAUGACAUUUUACAAUAAAGAUUAUGAAUACGAUGAGUACGACGAUGACACCACAUCGUCGACCACAGCUACCAGUGAGCCGCAGAAAUACAUGAAAGUACGCUCGACCAUCGAAGCGACUGCCUCUGGAUUUUCUCUAUUAGAGCCAUCCUGGAGCUUCCUGUACAUCACUAAAGACUGUUACGUUGUUGAAUUAUCAGACGGUUUUAUUG